CGCACAUUGCGCCCUUUGGUAUUCCAAAGGGCAUGCCUGUUCGAGCGUCAUUUGUACCCUCAAGCUUUGCUUGGUGUUGGGCGUUUUUUGUCUUUGGUCACCAAAGACUCGCCUUAAAAGGAUUGGCAGCCGGCCUACUGGUUUCGCAGCGCAGCACAUUUUUGCGCUUGCAAUCAGCAAAAGAGGACGGCACUCCAUCAAGACUCCUUCUCACGUUUGACCUCGGAUCAGGUAGGGAUACCCGCUGAACUUAA
rnacentral:misc_RNA from 1 species